ACAGAAUAACACCUCCGAGCCGUCAAGACCUAAAGCGCGUUACGCAAUGGUCUCCGGCCGAUAGGGUAUCUCCGGAAACGGGGAUGCCUCCCGCGAUUGGAAAGGAGGAAACGGCUUAGCUAA
rnacentral:ncRNA from 2 species